UCCGGUGGGGGCGAGCGUUAAUCGGAAUUACUGGGCGUAAAGCGCGCGUAGGCGGUUCGAUAAGUCAGAUGUGAAAUCCCCGGGCUCAACCUGGGAAUGGCAUUUGAUACUGUCAGACUAGAGUGUGGUAGAGGGAAGUGGAAUUCCGCAUGUAGCGGUGAAAUGCGUAGAUAUGCGGAGGAACACCAGUGGCGAAAGCGGCUUCCUGGACCAACACUGACGCUGAGGUGCGAAAGCGUGGGGAGCAAACAGG
rnacentral:rRNA from 1 species